CCUACGGGUGGCUGCAGUGGGGAAUAUUGGGCAAUGGGCGCAAGCCUGACCCAGCAACGCCGCGUGAAGGAAGAAGGCUUUCGGGCUGUAAACUUCUUUUAAGAGGGAAGAGCAGAAGACGGUACCUCUUGAAUAAGCCACGGCUAACUACGUGCCAGCAGCCGCGGUAUUACGUCGGUGGCAAGCGUUGUCCGGAUUUACUGGGUGUAAAGGGCGUGUAGCCGGGCUGACAAGUCAGAUGUGAAAUUCCGGGCCUCAACCCCGGACCUGCAUUUGAAACUGUUGGUCUUGAGUAUCGGAGAGGCAGGCGGAAUGCCUAGUGUAGCGGUGAAAUGCGUAGAUAUUAGGAGGAACACCAGUGGCGAAGGCGGCCUGCUGGACGACAACUGACGGUGAGGCGCGAAAGCGUGGGGAGCAAACAGGAUUAGAUACCCUUGUAGUC
rnacentral:rRNA from 1 species